CUUAACUUCUUUUUUCCCCCUCAACUUUUGGCAACUCUAAUCCCAAAAAAAGGGAGAUAUUAAAAUAAGGAAAAGGAAAAAACAGAGCACUCAUGAAUCAUGCAAUUAAAAGACACCCACUUUCAUUUUGAAGCUAUGUUAGGAUCCUUGGGGCAAUAUUGAUCAUAGUGGGAUUAUACCAAGUGUUGCGCGGCCAUCGGAAAAGUUUCUUGCUCUCAACUCCGUGAACCCUGUUGCAGAAAAUUGGAGGGAGAAAGAUGGAUUUAUCUAGGCUUUCCCUGCAAAUAUCCGAAAUUGAGGCUUACGACACGGUCUCUGGAUGAUAGAGAACUCAACCAAGUGAAGGCUGAAAGCAACCAUGAUUUGAAGAAAUCAUUAACUUGGUAGGAUCUUACUUGGUUCGGUAUUGGUGCUGUCAUUGGUGCUGGUAUCUUCGUACUUACUGGUCAAGAGGCUAAUCAAGAUGCUGGUCCUACUGUUAUUUUAUCUUUUGCUGUUUCCGGUGUCUCUGCUAUGCUCUCUGUUUUAUGUUACACCUAGUUUGCUGUUGAGAUCCCUGUUGCAGGGUUAUGUGCAAAGAGAAAUGCCAUAUUCUGAUGAGGAGUUAGAAGAAACUCAAGAACAAUGGGCAAAGUAUUUUAAGGACAACUAUUUGAUGGAUGCCGGCGAAUGCGUUUGUUGUCUAGUAAUGUUAUGUUUUAUGUUUUUGUUAUGUGUUGGAUAUGACGUUGGAUGCUACUUGGAGCAUAUAUAUGGUUGUUGGAACAUAUAUGUAUGUUAUGUCUUAUAUACAUGUCUUUAUAAAUUCCCGUUUUGUCCGGGUUUCUCAAAUUACAAGGGAAACUAUGGCAAAUUUUUUGCAACCUAUUAAACUAUUUAUAAUGUUUUUAUUAUAA